ACUCCUACGGGAGGCAGCAGUGGGGAAUAUUGCACAAUGGGCGCAAGCCUGAUGCAGCCAUGCCGCGUGUAUGAAGAAGGCCUUCGGGUUGUAAAGUACUUUCAGCAGUUAGGAAGGAUGGGUGGUGUUAAUAGCAUACUCAUUUGACGUUAGCUGCAGAAGAAGCACCGGCUAACUCCGUGCCAGCAGCCGCGGUAAUACGGAGGGUGCGAGCGUUAAUCGGAAUUACUGGGCGUAAAGCGCAUGCAGGUGGUUUGUUAAGUCAGAUGUGAAAGCCCGGGGCUCAACCUCGGAAUUGCAUUUGAAACUGGCAAACUAGAGUACUGUAGAGGGGGGUAGAAUUUCAGGUGUAGCGGUGAAAUGCGUAGAGAUCUGAAGGAAUACCGGUGGCGAAGGCGGCCCCCCUGGACAGAUACUGACACUCAGAUGCGAAAGCGUGGGGAGCAAACAGGAUUAGAUACCCUGGUAGGAUAGCGU
rnacentral:rRNA from 1 species